AGAACGAACGCUGGCGGCAGGCCUAACACAUGCAAGUCGAACGCCGUAGCAAUACGGAGUGGCAGACGGGUGAGUAACGCGUGGGAACAUACCCUUCGGUUCGGAAUAACUCAGGGAAACUUGAGCUAAUACCGGAUACGUCCGAGGUUUUAAUCGACCUUGGAGAAAGAUUUAUCGCCGGAGGAUUGGCCCGCGUCUGAUUAGCUUGUUGGUGAGGUAAUGGCUCACCAAGGCGACGAUCAGUAGCUGGUCUGAGAGGAUGAUCAGCCACAUUGGGACUGAGACACGGCCCAAACUCCUAUGGGAGGCAGCAGUGGGGAAUAGUUGGACAAUGGGCGAAAGCCUGAUCCAGCCAUGCCGCGUGAGUGAUGAAGGCCUUAGGGUUGUAAAGCUCUUUUACCCGGGAAGAUAAUGACGGUUACCGGGAGAAUAAGACCCCGGCUAACGUUCGUGCCAGCAGCCGC
rnacentral:rRNA from 1 species